rnacentral:rRNA from 1 species
ACGGCCAUACCAUGCUGAAUAUACCGGUUCUCGUUAGAUCACCGAAUGUCAAGCAUCAUUGGGCGCGGCCAGUACUUGGGUGGGUGACCACCUGGGAACACCACGUGCCGUU